rnacentral:lncRNA from 1 species
AAUAGUGUUUGUUUGUGUUUUUUCCUUCAGGCCCGGAUCGGUUCUGCAGUUUUAAUCAGUCUGAUCCCUGUUACGCAGCUCUGGGAGACAAACUCAAUCUGCUGAUGGUGCUGGACGCACAAGAUCAAGAGCUGCAUUUGUAUAAGGAGUUACUCGAUAGCAGAGAACUGGAAGUUUUUAGAAUAAAGAACAAUAAAGAGAAAAAACAUGAAUCCAUCAGAAACAGAUCUGAGUUCAUCUUUGAAAAUGGGACUCUGAUAAUAAACCGCGUGAUCAGAGCAGAUUCAGGGAAUUACCGAUUAGAACUCUAUCACUCAGAUGGCUCAAGAACUUUUAAAAAAUAUCUUCCCGUUAAUAUUGAAGCUCCUAUUGGCUCAUUGGAAGUUUCAACCAGCUGCUCCUCCAAUCAGAGGUCAGUGUCCUGCUUAUCUGAGGGCGAUCAGAUCAUCUACAGCUGGAUUCUAAACGGAAAAAUAAUAAAGCAAGGGCCAAUGUUUGGAAACAGUAGCAUCAAUCUGGAUGAGGGAACUGAUGGAGACAUCAGCUGCAGCGUGAAGAACCACGUCAGUCACGCACAGAAGACCAUGAGACUCAAACCCUGUCCUGGUCCAGAUCGGUUCUGCAGGUUUGAUCAACCAGAUCCCUGUUACACAGCUCUGAGAGACAAACUCAAUCUGAUGAUGGUGCUGGACACUAGUGAAUAUGACCUGAAGAUCGUAAAGAGAAUAAACAACAACACAGCAGAUGAUCCAGUUUGUAGAGUAAAGAAUGGCAGGAUGAGGAUGAGGGAAUGUGAUCUUUAUAACAGAACUGAAGUGACCAUCAUUAAUGGGACUCUGAUAAUAAACCGUGUGAUCAGCGCAGAUUCAGGGAAUUACAGAUUAACACUCGAGAGCUCAGACGGCACAGAAACAUCUAGAGAUCUUCAAGUGAUUGUUGAAGCUCCUAUUGGCUCAGUGGAAGUGUCAAUCAUCUGCUCCUCCAGUGGGGUGAUGAGGGUGUCCUGCUCUUCUGAGGGGUAUCCGCUCCUCUACAGCUGGACUCUGAAUGGAGAUCCACUGAUGGAUGGAAACAGCAGCAUUGAUCUGGAUGAGGGAACUGAUGGAGACAUCAGCUGCAGCGUGAAGAACCACAUCAGUCACGCACAGAAGACCGUUAGACUCAAACCCUGUCCUGGUGAGAUUUUAA